UACAGAGGUCUCAAGCGUUGUUCGGAUUCAUUGGGCGUAAAGGGUGCGUAGGCGGCGCGGUAAGUCGGGUGUGAAAUCUCGGGGCUUAACUCCGAAACUGCAUUCGAUACUGCCGUGCUUGAGGACUGGAGAGGAGACUGGAAUUUACGGUGUAGCGGUGAAAUGCGUAGAUAUCGUAAGGAAGACCAGUGGCGAAGGCGGGUCUCUGGACAGUUCCUGACGCUGAGGCACGAAGGUCGGGGAGCAAACGGG
rnacentral:rRNA from 1 species